CGUGUAGGUGGCUAAGUAAGUCAGGUGUGAAAUCCUUCCGCUUAACGGAAGAAGUGCACUUGAAACUGCUUAGCUAGAGUACAGGAGAGGAAGGUGGAAUUCCUGGUGUAGAGGUGAAAUUCAUAGAUAUCGGGAAGAACACCGGUGGCGAAGGCGGCCUUCUGGCCUGAUACUGACGCUGAGACGCGAAAGCGUGGGGAGCAAACAGGAUUAGAUACCCUGGUAGUCCACGCCGUAAACGUUGGGCACUAGGUGUGGGAGGUUUUUAUUCCUUCUUUGCCGAAGCUAACGCAUUAAGUGCCCCGCCUGGGGAGUACGGUCGCAAGGCUAAA
rnacentral:rRNA from 1 species